rnacentral:rRNA from 1 species
GUUGAACGCUGGCGGCAGGCCUAACACAUGCAAGUCGAGCGGAGCGGCGGACGGGUGAGUAAUGCCUCGGAAUCUGCCUGGUAGUGGGGGAUACAUUCCGGAAAGGAGCGCUAAUACCGCAUAAGAUAAGAUGAGCCUAGGGCGGAUUAGCUAGAUGGUGGGGUAAAGGCCUACCAAGGCGACGAUCCGUAACUGGUCUGAGAGGAUGAUCUGUCACACUGGAACUGAGACACGGUCCAGACUCCUACGGGAGGCAGCAGUGGGGAAUAUUGGACAAUGGGCGAAAGCCUGACCCAGCCAUGCCGCGUGAGUGAAGAAGGUCUUCGGAUUGUAAAGCACUGUAAGUUGGGAGGCGUUACCAACAGAAUAAGCACCGGCUAACUACGUGCCAGCCGCCGCGGUAAUUC